GACGAACGCUGGCGGCGUGCCUAAUACAUGCAAGUCGAGCGGACUUUCAAGAAGCUUGCUUUUUGAAAGUUAGCGGCGGACGGGUGAGUAACACGUGGGCAACCUGCCUGUAAGACGGGGAUAACUCCGGGAAACCGGGGCUAAUACCGGAUAAUAUCUUUCUUCGCAUGAAGGAAGGUUGAAAGGCGGCGCAAGCUGCCGCUUGCAGAUGGGCCCGCGGCGCAUUAGCUAGUUGGUGAGGUAACGGCUUACCAAGGCGACGAUGCGUAGCCGACCUGGGAGGGUGAUCGGCCACACUGGGACUGAGACACGGCCCAGACUCCUACGGGAGGCAGCAGUAGGGGAUCUUCCGCAAUGGACGAAAGUCUGACGGAGCAACGCCGCGUGAGCGAAGAAGGUCUUCGGAUCGUAAAGCUCUGUUGUCAGGGAAGAACAAGUACCGUUCGAAUAGGGCGGUACCUUGACGGUACCUGACCAGAAAGCCACGGCUAACUACGUGCCAGCCGCCGCGGUAA
rnacentral:rRNA from 1 species